CCUACAGGUGGCAGCAGUGAGGAAUAUUGCACAAUGGGCGAAAGCCUGAUGCAGCAACGCCGCGUGAGCGAUGAAGGCCUUCGGGUCGUAAAGCUCUGUCCUCAAGGAAGAUAAUGACGGUACUUGAGGAGGAAGCCCCGGCUAACUACGUGCCAGCAGCCGCGGUAAUACGUAGGGGGCUAGCGUUAUCCGGAUUUACUGGGCGUAAAGGGUGCGUAGGUGGUUUCUUAAGUCAGAGGUGAAAGGCUACGGCCAAACCGUAGAAAGCCUUUGAAACUGGUGAACUUGAGUACAGGAGAGGAGAGUGGAAUUCCUAGUGUAGCGGUGAAAUGCGUAGAUAUUAGGAGGAACACCAGUUGCGAAGGCGGCUUUCUGGACUGUAACUGACACUGAGGCACGAAAGCGUGGGGAGCAAACAGGAUUAGAUACCCUUGUAGUC
rnacentral:rRNA from 1 species